GACGAACGCUGGCGGCGUGCCUAAUACAUGCAAGUAGAACGCUGAAGAGAGGAGCUUGCUCUUCUUGGAUGAGCUGCGAACGGGUGAGUAACGCGUAGGUAACCUGCCUGGUAGCGGGGGAUAACUAUUGGAAACGAUAGCUAAUACCGCAUAAAAUUGAUUAUUGCAUGAUAAUUAAUUGAAAGAUGCAACUGCAUCACUACCAGAUGGACCUGCGUUGUAUUAGCUAGUUGGUGAGGUAACGGCUCACCAAGGCGACGAUACAUAGCCGACCUGAGAGGGUGAUCGGCCACACUGGGACUGAGACACGGCCCAGACUCCUACGGGAGGCAGCAGUAGGGAAUCUUCGGCAAUGGGGGGAACCCUGACCGAGCAACGCCGCGUGAGUGAAGAAGGUUUUCGGAUCGUAAAGCUCUGUUGUAAGAGAAGAACGGGUGUGAGAGUGGAAAGUUCACACUGUGACGGUGUCUUACCAGAAAGGGACGGCUAACUACGUG
rnacentral:rRNA from 1 species